rnacentral:rRNA from 1 species
UUCCGGUUGAUCCCGCCGGAGGCUACCGCUAUUGGAGUUCGAUUAAGCCAUGCGAGUCGCGAGUCUUAGGGACUCGGCGUACCGCUCAGUAACACGUGGGUAACCUGCCCUAUGCUGGGGGAUAACCUCGGGAAACUGAGAAUAAUACCCCAUAGUUCACCACGCCUGGAACGGUGGGUGGAUCAAAGCUCCGGCGGCAUAGGAUGGGCCUGCGGCGUAUCAGGUUGUAGGGGGUGUAAUGUACCCUCUAGCCCUCUACGCGUACGGGUGUUGAGAGACAUCGCCCGGAGAUGGAUUCUGAGACACGAAUCCAGACCCCACGGGGUGCAGCAGGCGCGAAAACUUGGCAAUGCGAGAAAUCGUGACCAGGGAACUCCAAGUGCAUCGGGUAAGACCGAUGCUUUUCUUGACUCUUCAAAGGUCUUGGAAUAAGGGGUGGGUAAGGACGGUGCCAGCCGCCGCGGUAAUACCGGCGCCCCAAGUGGUAGUCGCUUUUAUUGGGCCUAAAACGUCCGUAGCCGGUCUGGUACAUUCGUGGGUAAAUCAACCAGCUCAACUGGUUGAAUUCUGCGAGCACGGCCAGACUUGGGACCGGGAGAGGUGUGGGGUACUCUCAGGGUAGGGGUAAAAUCCUGUCAUCCUGAGAGGACCACCUGUUGCGAAGGCGCCACACUAGAACGGAUCCGACGGUCAGGGACGAAGCCUAGGGGCACGAACCGGAUUAGAUACCCGGGUAGUCCUAGGUGUAAACGCUGUGGACUUGAUGUUGGGGGCGCUCCGAGCGCACUCAGUGUCGAAGCGAAGGUGAUAAGUCCACUGCCUGGGGAGUACGGUCGCAAGGCUGAAACUUAAAGGAAUUGGCGGGGGAGCACCGCAACCUGAGGAUUGUGCGGUUUAAUUGGAUUCAACGCCGGA